ACCAUUUCGUGCAAGGAGAUCUUUGAACACGAGUUUCAGUACGAUCAAACGUCUUAACUGUGACCCCAAGAAACCUACUCCGGGGGUAGAGGCCUCGCGAACAAAAACUGCGCUGCGGAAAACAAAGCGGAGAUGGCCGAGGCCGUGCGCAGAUUCUGGCGCACACAAAGAAGCCAGAGCCAUGCUCGCGCGCUGCGGCGGCGCAUGCGCAGCUCAGCGGGUGCAGUAACAGGACUGAAACCCAGGGACCUUUUUCGUGGCAAGGAUUCUGAGGACAUCUGGGGACUCAACAUCCCCUACCAUCCCCAAUUUGUGAACCCAGGGGCUCAGGAAAUCAAGGAUGGCAGAGACUGCUGAGCCUGACACUGGAGAAGCCAGCUGCCUUUUGCUCACUGCAGACAGAACUGCAGACAGAACUGGUCUCGGCAGGCCACAGGCAUCAUCCCUUGUUGGUGGCUCCCUCUUAAGCAAUGGAUCUUUCUCCUCCUCAUUUUUCUUCUCCAUUAAAUGGGGCGAACAGGGUGUUAAAAGACAUAAUUGCCGUUUACAGGGAGCCGUGGCGUCUUGGAUAAAAGCCUAUGGAGCUGGGAACGCUUGUUCAAAAUGAGAACAUAACUUUGAUCAACGGAGACGGAGGGAGAAAAACACUCCCUGCAUCAGCUAGGAUUAUCUGGCCUGGCCUGGUUUGGUGUUCUAGUUUGUUUUUGUUUCUGGGAUAAAACGCUGACCAAAGCCAACUUGGAGAAGAAAAGGUUUAUUUUUGUCUUACAACUUCCGGGUCACAGUGGACCACUGAGGUCAGGAACUGAGGCAGCGGCUAACUGAGGGACACCGCUUACGUCUUGCUCUCCACAGUUUGCUCAGUCUGUUUUCUUGUACCACCCGAGACCAACUGCUGCCCAGAAGCGACACCACCCACCGUGGGCUGGACUGUCCCUUAUCAAUCAUUAAUCAAAACAACAACAACAAGUUCUACAUUUUCUCCCCUGAAUACCAAUCUGAUAGAGGUAGUUUCUCAAUCAAGGUUCCUUCCUCCUAGGUGAAGCUAGUUUAUAUGGAGUUGACAAAAAGCUAGCCAGCACAUGUGGGUAGCAAGGUUUUAUCCAACAGAUUGCCUAUGGGGACUUUUUUGCUCUCUUUUGAACAGUGUUCACAACCCUUGACUUCUACGCCAGCCAGGAUUAGGUUACAAAGGGAUAUCGAAUCAGCAGGACUGUAAGCAUUCAAGUUUCUGCUCCCACGCACACAGUAAACGCUCAGUAAAUAUUUGCUAGAAAAACCAGUAAGUUACUUUAUUUGCUCAAAUUUAUGAAACAGGUUUAAGAACCAGAUUGCCCUAACAGUUUCAGACUCCAAGAUGAUGAAGAAUAUAAUGGAAGAGAUGACAUUGUUGCCUUGAGUUAUUAAUAAUGUCCAUGCACCAUUAAGAAUAAAGAGGCGGGACUCAUGAAAUGGCUAAGAAGGUAAAGGAGAGUGCUGCUAAGGCUGGCAACCUGAGUUCAAUGUCCAGGACCCCCAUGUUGGAAGGAGAGAACCAAUUCCCACAUGUUGUCCUUUGACCUCUGUAUGUGCACUGUGGCAUGUGCACCUGUGACCUCUGUAUAUGUACCGUGACAUGUGCAUCAACACAUAUCAGCAUGCAUUUGGAAUAAACUAAUACAGAAAACAAAAAAAAAUAAAUAAGCUACAAAAAUAUCCCC
ensembl:lincRNA Gm6559 predicted gene 6559